GCUAAGCUACACCUGUGCCAAAUUUGGCGCUUUUAGACAAAAGUGAACGAAUCCACCCUAAAAGGGAUAUUUUCGUUCACUUUUGUCUAGAAGUGCCAAAUUUGGCACAGGUGUAGCUCAUG
rnacentral:miRNA from 1 species